GACUGGUUUAGAUGAAGAUGAAGAUGCGCACGUCUGGGAAGACAAUUGGGAUGAUGACAAUGUCGAAGAUGAUUUCUCCAAUCAGUUAAGAGCUGAAUUAGAAAAACAUGGAUACAAGAUGGAAACCUCAUAGUUUUUGAUGAAUAUGGAGUGGUUUAACCUUGAACUGUGGAUAGACUAUACUGAGAGAAGAAGAAAAGGUGGAAAAUGAGAAGACAGUUCGUUAUCUGCUUGGAUUUAUUAUUGUUUUGUAUAAAAAAUAAAGUUUUUAAUCUUAGCCUAGUCAUACAUUCAGCCUCUACUAAACUGGUAACUUGUAUUUUGGUUCUGAAAUGCCUUGUGCGACAGAAUUCAUGGACUUACCUAGAAUGCUACUAAUGAUCUUUCAGUGCCUGGUGCUAUCGCACCAGCUCCCGUCAUGGGGAACCAAAUAAGCAUUACCAGAAUGAAGACUAGUGAAAUGUUUCUGUCAUAGGGAAUGUGGAGAUGGCAAAAAGAAAUAAAAUACGUAUUCCAGUUAAAAUGCAGCAGAGGUAGAAAGGAGUUUUGGGGAGUGAUAAAGCUUAUUUUGCCUCAAGAUUUUAUUUCAUAAUGACUUGCUUUGUUUUUGUUAAUAAUUUCAUGUGGGUGUCAGUUUGAUAGCCUCGAAAGAUAAAACCCACUUUAAAGUGCGUCUUACAACAGCAGAAAUCCAAACUCUGAUCUUGUCCUGUCAUUUCUCAAGACUGUUAAAGAGGAGACCUCUCUGGAGGUGAAAGAAGUUCUGUUCUCAUGCUUAUUUAAGCCUAGGAAUCUCUGCUGAAAUUUCCUCCAAUUUGCCAGUUACAGCAGUUCAUCUGUAUCACACAAACAUGCCUGCUGAGAAUGGAAAUCAGACUUCCAACUCUUUUCAUGGAGGCCAACAAACAGUUGCCAGAUAGAUACAGCAGUAGUGACUGGAUUCGAUUACUCUCUGAACUAGAAAACAGAAGGUGGAAAUUACAAAACCUAUUACCAAUUCCAUGAAUUCUCCCCAAAGGAGCUGUUAAAGCUGGUGUACGCAAAGACAUAGGGAGAUACAGCGAUCCUGGAAGUGUAGGCCAUGACUGCAAAUGAAAAAAAAAAAAAAAUUUUUUAAUAAAGGGACAAAUACAGCUAUGUACUCAUGGAAUUUGAAUUGGCUGCUUGCUUUUUCGGCAGUUCACUGUAGAGAAGCAGAGACGUAAUUGCUUUUUAAAGCAAGCUUUCAGAAUAAAGGUAUUAGUUGACGGACAUGC